GAAAGAUAACUCCAAUCAAUUGAAAAUUUCUUGCUAUUGCACAAUAUUGUGCAAUUAGAUAUUUCUGGCUAUUGCGCAAUACUGUGCAAUUGAAAAUAUUUGCUAUUGCACAAUACUGUGCAAUUGAAGAUUUCUUGCUAUUGCUGAAUACUGUGCAAUUGAAAAUUUCUUGCUAUUGCACAAUACUUAAUAUAAUAAUUUUGGAUCCUGAUUUGAACCAACUUGAAAACUGGGCCCAUAAACAAAAAUCUAAGUACAUGUUUAGAUUCAGCAUAUCAAAAAAGCCCUAGAAUUCAAUUUUUGUUAAAAUCAAAUUUAGUUUAAUUUUGGACCCUUUGGACCUUAAUGUAGAUCAAUUUGAAAAUGGGACCAAAAAUUAAGAAUCCACAUACACAGUUAGAUUUAGCAUAUCAAAGAACCCCAAUUAUUCAAUUUUUGAUGAAAUCAAACAAAGUUCAAUAUUGGAUUCUUUGGGUCCCUUAUUCCUAAACUGUUGUGACCAAAACUCCCAAAAUCAAACCCAACCUUCCUUUUAUGGUCAUAAACCUUGUGUUUAAAUUUCAU
rnacentral:lncRNA from 1 species